rnacentral:lncRNA from 1 species
CCACUUCCUUAAUGCAAUUUAUGCACCAAUAUAUCUUGCUAUAAAUAUGAUAAUGUGAUGGCGAGGAUAUCUCUAUGGAAAUCUUGAAGAGCCAUUCCACGAUAUUUGUGAAGACAUUAUAUAUCUUUCACGAGUUAUGAUUUCAAGUGCACAAGAUUGGGAUGCGAAGACUCAAGGAUGUGAAUUGAUGCUCUCUUCAGGGGGAGUUAAUGCGCGUUGCACUCUUUUUCCCUUACAAGGUUUUG